CCUUGCCUUCCUGGGGAUAACAUAGCGUUGCUGUUUAACGCUUGAUGAGAGCCGUUCUCAGUGCCCUACGUGUCCACUUAUUGAAUGGCCAGCCCAGGCCUAGGUGGCGGACGGUGUCGUUCUCCUCAUUUUGCAGAGGAGAGGACCGGAGGCAGCAGGAGAGCCGGGACUCGGGCCCAGGCAGACCGAGCGGCAGAGUAUACGACACAUACGUGGGAAACACCCGCUGCAACCCGUUGAGGUUGACACCGUUAUUGAUCUCGUCGGACCGAGGAGGUCAAGUAACUUCAUCCAGAUCACGUAGCCAAGAAGCAGCAGAGGCCACUUUUGAACUCAGCAGAGGGGUGAGGGGAGCCAGCACCAGACUGCCUGGCAAAUGCCUCGUCUUGCAGCUGAAGAGUAAGCAUGAGUCAUCGGCCUGACUUCUAACCGAGGAAGGGAGCCUCGCAAGGUAAGACGGCUGUUUAUGUAAAAGAAAAGGGAAAACCCGAUCUAACUCCUAGUCACUCAUCUGGGCAAUACAGAGUAUAUACCGGAACAGAUCUUAUACUUUGGUAACGGAACUGGAUGUUCGUCAGUAAAACCCCACGUCACUGGAUGGGCAGAGUUGACUGAAUUGACAUCUGCCAGUGGUGUUCCCACAAGUGUUCCCGAGCAGAAGCCUAUUAUUCCUCGGGGUCUGUUCCAGUGCUUGAAGUUCCACUGCCAGAGUCAUCGCUUGUGGGCCGCCAGGCUAGAAAGGCUUGGAGAGGCCCUUAUGAAAAUAGAACCACUGCUGAAGCCUGGCACGUUUUAUUAACUCCUACCUUAGGUUGGCUUCAAGACUUGAAGAAGCUGCUUGGACAGGGAGCAGACGCUCUAAGGCCGAAGACGUAGCCCUCCAAAUCUCGGGGCCAGUCUGCCCGGGACCUAGCCCAAAUCCUGGUCAUUCACAUACCACCCCCCAAGUUUUGCCCUGUUGUCAUACUCCCAACACCAUUCCAUGUUUUCCUUCAAGCCAGCUCACGUUUGUACUGAAAGCAGCUUGUGACAGCGCCGUCUACCCAGCUUUGUCCUAAUGAAAUCAUGGGUUAGGGGCACUA
rnacentral:lncRNA from 1 species